UACGUAUGGUGCAAGCGUUAUUCGGAUUACUGGGUGUAAAGGGAGCGUAGAUGGCAUGGCAAGUCUGAAGUGAAAGCCCGCGGCUCAACUGCGGGACUGCUUUGGAAACUGUUAAGCUAGAGUGCAGGAGAGGUAAGUGGAAUUCCUAGUGUAGCGGUGAAAUGCGUAGAUAUUAGGAGGAACACCGGUGGCGAAGGCGGCUUACUGGACUGUAACUGACGUUGAGGCUCGAAAGCGUGGGGAGCAAACA
rnacentral:rRNA from 1 species